GGGGGGGGGUCCUGCCAGUAUCUGCUUGUCUCAAAGUUAAGCCAUGAUGUCUAGUACAUAGCGAAUAGGGAACACGCGAGAAUGGCUCAUUAAAUCAGUUAUGGUUCCUUAGAUCGUUUCUUCCUACUUGGAUAACUGUGGCAAUUCUAGAGCUAAUACAUGCAGUGAGCCUGGAGCCCUUUGGGUAACGGCAGUGCUUUUUUAUUGCAGAUCGAUCGGGUCGGCCCGUAUUGUGUGGUGACUCUGGAUAACUUUGUGCUGAUCGCAUGGCCACGAGCCGGCGACGUUUCAAGUGUCUCCUUAUCAACGUUUCGUUGGUAGGUUACUUGCCUUACAUGGUUCGCUACGGUACGGGAAUCAGCGCGUUCGAUUUCGGGAGGGAGCCUGAUGAAACGGCUACCACUCCAAGGAGGGGCCGCAGGGCGCAAAUUACCCACUCCCGGCACGGGGAGGUAGUGACGAAAAAUAACAAUACGGGACUCUUUUGAGGCCCCGUAAUUGAAAUGAGCCUCUAAAUCCUUAUUAACGGAGCCGAUCAAUUGGAGGGCAAGUCUGGAUCCUGCCGCAGCCGCGGUAAUUCCAGCUCCAAUAGCGUAUACUAAAGCUGCUGCGGUUAAAAAGCUCGUAGUUGGAUCUCAGUUCCAGACGAGUAGUGCAUCUACCCGAUGCGACGGCUCGGACUGAACAUCAUGCCGGUUCUUUCUUGGUGCACUUCAUUGUGUGCCUCGAGAUGGCCGGUGCUUUUCCUUUUGAAAAACUCACCGAGGUGCUCAACGAACCAGGAGGGCGCAGGUUUCGCCAGCAACCAAACCUUGCAGAAUAAACUACAACAAGACCCAUCGUUCGUUUCUGUUCUGUUGCCGUUUUGAAUCACGCAGGUCAAUUGCGAUUAAAGAGGGACAGGACCGGGGAGGCAAAUAUCGUCAAUUUCACCAGCAGCGCCAUAGAGAGCAAAAACUGAAAUUCUUGGACCGACGCAAGACGAACUACUGCGAAAGCAUUUGCCAAGAUGUUUUCAAUUGAUAAGCACAGACAAGUCCAGAGGUUCCCGAUAGGCGAUCAGAAUACGCCCCUAGUUUACUUGACUCAAUAAACGAUGCCAACUCAGCGAUCGAGCCAUGCGAAGUUAAUAAUAACACAAAUUGAAUUCCGCCGGCAGCUUCACCCGGGAAACCAAAGUAUUUGGGUUCCGGGGGAAGUAUGGUUGCAAAGCUGAAACUUAAAGGAAUUGACGGAAGGGCACCACCAGGAGUGGAGCCGCGGCUUAAUUAUCCGACUCAACACGGGAAAACUUACCCGGCCCGGACACUGGGAGGAUUGACAGAUUGAGAGCUCUUUCUUGAUUCGGUGGAUGGUGGUGCAUGGCCGUUCUUAGUUGGUGGAGCGAUUUGUCUGGUUAAUUCCGACAACAACACAUAACAAGAGACUCUAGCCUAUUAAAUAGGUGCGGGGUUCCCAGCACCUUACAACCUUCUUAGAGGGACAAGCGGCUCCUAGCCGCACGAAACAGAGCAAUAACAGGUCUGUGAUGCCCUUAGAUGUCCGGGGCCGCACGCGCGCUACACUGAAGGAAGCAGCGUGUCUUUAUCCCUGUCUGAAAAGACUGGGUAACCCGUGGAACUUCUUUCGUGAUUGGGAUAGGGGCUUGCAAUUGUUCCCCUUGAACGAGGAAUUCCCAGUAAGCGCGAGUCAUAAGCUCGCGUUGAUUACGUCCCUGCCCUUUGUACACACCGCCCGUCGCUACUACCGAUUGAAUGAUUUAGUGAGGUCUUCGGACCGAUCUCCGGCGCGGCCUUUCGGUUGCGCCGGUCUGUUGGAAAGAUGACCAAACUUGAUCAUUUAGAGGAAGUAAAAGUCGUAACAAGGUUUCCGUAGGUGAACCUGCGGAAG
rnacentral:rRNA from 1 species